rnacentral:lncRNA from 1 species
GUUCAGCAGGUAGUUAAGUUUGAUCAACAUUAUGCAUUAUGUAGAUUCUCUUGCAAAAAAACCAUUUUUACCUGUUGUUUUUUAGUAUUCAGUUGAAGUCUUACUUUGUUAACAAGUUGAUUAUUUUUUCGCUAAGAGCACACUAGUCAGAUGUCAAAGGUAUUUACAAUGUAUGAAUAUAGCUCAACCACCACACUCAUCUAUCAAGUAAGUCCAACAACCGAUAUAUAAAGCAUUUUUCCUUGCACCACAAACAUAAAUGAAAGGAAAAGACUGUUUCAUUACAUCCCUUUCAUUACUUCCCUAUUUUCCCCCCCAAUUUAUCCCAAGGAGAGCUUGAUCUUAGCCUAAAG